rnacentral:rRNA from 1 species
AACGAACGCUGGCGGCAGGCUUAACACAUGCAAGUCGAACGCCCCGCAAGGGGAGUGGCAGACGGGUGAGUAACACGUGGGAAUCUACCCAUCUCUACGGAACAACCCAGGGAACUUGGACUAAUACCGUAUACGCCCUACGGGGGAAAGAUUUAUCGGAGAUGGAUGAGCCCGCGUUGGAUUAGCUAGUUGGUGGGGUAAAGGCCUACCAAGGCGACGAUCCAUAGCUGGUCUGAGAGGAUGAUCAGCCACACUGGGACUGAGACACGGCCCAGACUCCUACGGGAGGCAGCAGUGGGGAAUCUUGGACAAUGGGCGCAAGCCUGAUCCAGCCAUGCCGCGUGAGUGAUGAAGGCCCUAGGGUUGUAAAGCUCUUUCGCAGGUGAAGAUAAUGACGGUAACCUGAGAAGAAGCCCCGGCUAACUUCGUGCCAGCCGCCGCCGUAAUAC